rnacentral:rRNA from 1 species
GACGAACGCUGGCGGCGUGCUUAACACAUGCAAGUCGAACGGGCCAUGCUCUUCGGGGUGUGGUUAGUGGCGAACGGGUGAGUAACACGUGGGUAACCUGCCCCCUUCUCUGGGAUAACUCCGGGAAACCGGGGCUAAUACCGGAUAUGACCCAUGACCGCAUGGUGUGUGGGUGGAAAGUUUUUCGGUGGGGGAUGGGCCCGCGGCCUAUCAGCUUGUUGGUGGGGUGAUGGCCUACCAAGGCGUUGACGGGUAGCCGGCCUGAGAGGG